AAGAGGGAACCCGGUGGGAGUCCGGGACUGUCCCGCAGCGGUAUGCAGGAACGACCGCCGUCACGAGCACUGGUCUGGCGAAAAGACUGGGAAGCGACGGCCAUUAGGAACUGCCCGGCUCCUCAGCGGCCCUUCCGGGCCGCAUCGUCGGCCGGGCGUGAGCACCACCUGGUGCGCGCCUGCGAGUCCGAAGACCU
rnacentral:ncRNA from 2 species